rnacentral:rRNA from 1 species
GAUGAACGCUGGCGGCGUGCCUAAUACAUGCAAGUCGAGCGAACGGACGAGAAGCUUGCUUCUCUGAUGUUAGUGGCGGACGGGUGAGUAACACGUGGAUAACCUACCUAUAAGACUGGGAUAACUUCGGGAAACCGGAGCUAAUACCGGAUAAUAUUUUGAACCGCAUGGUUCAAAAGUGAAAGACGGUCUUGCUGUCACUUAUAGAUGGAUCCGCGCUGCAUUAGCUAGUUGGUAAGGUAACGGCUUACCAAGGCAACGAUGCAUAGCCGACCUGAGAGGGUGAUCGGCCACACUGGAACUGAGACACGGUCCAGACUCCUACGGGAGGCAGCAGUAGGGAAUCUGCCGCAAUGGGCGAAAGCCUGACGGAGCAACGCCGCGUGAGUGAUGAAGGGCUUCGGAUCGUAAAACGCUGUUAUUAGGGAAGAACAUAUGUGUAAGUAACUGUGCACAUCUUGACGGGACCUAAUCAGAAAGCCACGGCUAACUACGU